GUAAGUAUAGUUUAAUAAAAACUUUAGAUUGUGAAUCUAACAAUAGAAACUAACCUUUCUUACUUACC
rnacentral:tRNA from 1 species